CACGUAGGGGGCAAGCGUUGUCCGGAUUUAUUGGGCGUAAAGAGCUCGUAGGCUGUUCGAUAAGUCGGGUGUGAAACCUCCAGGCUCAACCUGGAGACGCCACCCGAUACUGUCAUGACUAGAGUCCGGUAGGGGAGCGUGGAAUUCCUGGUGUAGCGGUGAAAUGCGCAGAUAUCAGGAGGAACACCGAUUGCGAAGGCAGCUCGCUGGGACGUAACUGACGCUGAGACGCGAAAGCGUGGGGAGCAAACAGG
rnacentral:rRNA from 1 species